UCGGUUUUCCACACUGUUUCAGACCGAACCGACUGUGAUUUUUUUUCUCCGUUUCUCGCGCCUCUUUCAGUCUCCUCCUUUCACCCUUCCAACUUUGCCGCCGGGCGCCAUAUCUGUAUCCACUUUCGGUUGUAUCACCUUCCGCUGUGAGAAUCUGUUUCUUUUGCUCUCGUCGGCGCCGCCGUGAGUUCUUGGCUGGUUUAUUUUUACUUUCCUCUUGGUUUUCAGGUGCAUACCUCGCUGCCAUUCAAUCUCCCACUCUUUCUGCUCAUGCUCGACGACGUUAAGUUUUGCUCCGUCUCUCUCUCAAAUCUGAAUGUUUAUGCUUGCCUGGUAUGUGGUAAAUACUAUCAAGGAAGGGGGGAAGAAAUCCGAGAACUCUACUAAGGCUGAGUACAUGGCAAUAGCAGAAGCUGGAAAGGAUAUGAUAUGGAUGACAGACUAUUUAGAAGAAUUGGGUAAGAAGCAGCAUGAGAAUAUUCUUUAUACAAAUAGUUAGAGUGUCAUGCAGUCAGUAAGAAACCCGGUUUAUCAUUCAAAGACAAAACACAGAAGGCAAUACCAUUUCACUCACAGGUUAGUGGAAGAUGGUGAUGUGUUUGGAGAAGAUAGAGGGUGCAAAUAUCCUAGCAAAUAUGUUGACAAAAUGUGUUGAUGUUGGAACAUUGAGGUUGUGCAAAGCCUCGAUUAGUAUGGUGCCAUGAAGAUGCUGAUAGUUGUUUGUGAAUGAAAUUCUUGGUUGAUUGAAUAGGUGGUCGUGUGUUUAGACAAACAUUGCACGGGUAGCAGGCGUUGCACAUAGAGGUGUGAUAUUCGCAUACUACAUGUAGCCCUACGUGGCGACUAUGUGCAUACGCAUGUGCGUCUCUGCAUGCCUGCACUCGUGGGACUGAAAUAAUGGACGAGUCUUGGGGCUAAGUGUUUUUACCUUACCCCAGUGCCAUGAUGAUAUGCUAAUCUCUAAUCAUAGAGUGAAAUAAAUACCAUAUUUCGAAGUUUAGAAGAUAUUCAAAUUUUACUAAAUUGCGUCGAAGUACGACUUGAUUGCACAUAUUGUUCAUGAUGGGAAACCCGAUGAAGGGUGCUAUAGGGUAUUUGUAAAGACGAAGUCGGAAGAAUUGUGGAAGUUGAAAUGUAAAAUUUGCCACAGAGAGAACAU